AUCAUCUUCCAUAUAUACACAAACACGUGUUCAUAUAAAUAUAUAUCAUUCUCGGCUAUCCUCAUCCUGAUCGUAUUUGAUAGCCACCCAUAACUGAAUUCAUCUCUUUCUCAUCAAAGGAAUAUAUUUUUCCAUAUCCACCAAGCUCCGUGUCAACCACCACCACCAUAACUCUUGCCGCAACCAUACAAGGGAACAACCAACUUAGCGUCGCUGUCUAUAUGGAGAAACACUGGCUAAUCAUCCUAUAAGAUCAUGUUUAUGUUUUUAUUUAUCUCGCCAUCAUCUUGCUUAUGCAGUUUUAUUAUUAUUUUCUUUUAAUCUUUAAUUCAUAUUUAGGUAUUGCAGCAACUACUACAGUGAAUUCUCGGAGUCAGUUGAGCUGUGUGAUUGGUGCCAGAGCGAAGAGAAGAACGCCAGAAAUGGAAACUCUUCGAAGAAAUCAGCAGCCGGACAUGAUAGUGGAGGAGUUACUAACCGAUCGGAGUACUCAGGUGACAAAAUCAAGCAACAUGAUCGUGAAGAGAGCACCGCCGAGAAGGGAAAGAGCUCGAGUGGUGUGCCUUCUCCAAGAACAGCUACUCGCAGGUACAAGCUUCUCAAGGAUGUGAUGUGUUAAAACGUUAACGGGGGAGUUGGUGUCAAAACCUUUUCUUGGGUGUUCAUAGUAGCAAAUACUAAUUAUAUAAGCUGUUUCUUUUGGUGUUUUCUUUUGAGUUAUGGAUGCGGUUUGUUCAUGCUAUGUUUUGAUCAGUUAGUUGUUAAUAAAAUAAUGCGACUUUUUUCAAUACGAUCGGUGGCACAAGCUCUGAAGCUUGUAAUUUUUCCAGAAUUUCAGAAUUCCUUCGUAAAUUACUGUUGUAAUUUACUUCUGUUAUAUUUUGGCCUCUCAUAGUAAGGAUUUUACUAGAUAUAUAGGUUUCGUGCCAGAAAAAUGG
rnacentral:misc_RNA from 1 species